GCAUGCGUAUUCUGCAGGAGGCUCGCCACGUUUAGAAGAGUCGUCAUCAGCUCUUCAUUCACUACAACAUUUCAGUUAAUCACACACCACAAGAUACGAAACAAUACCGGUUCCAGUGGGCGGGGUUCAAAUUGACAUCACCACCUCUCACCAGCUGGUAGCGCUGAGGCGCUGAGACGCUGAAACUGUUUUCAGUACAGGUGGUGCCUGCCUAUGUUUAGAGCUGAUUAAAAGAAGAAGCUCCUCAAGACUGAAGGCUUGAUGUGGACCAGCAGGACCCAGAGCCUCUUAUCAUGGAAUGGAAGAGAAGACCUUUAGACCAGUCUGGUGGGAGACCAACUCAAUAAGGAGGACACCAAUAUCAGGUUUUUGGUCACUACAGUUUCUUUAAAGAGUGAAGAGGAUAAACACAAACUUACCAGGCAGGAACCCAGAUUUAAAGACUCACAAAGGCAGUUCCAGCUUUUCAAAGACUGACAUUAACGAGGACGAUGAAGAGGAUGGUGAAAUGACCAGUCCUGACUCUGCUAAAGAACUCAUCAGACUCUGAAUCAGAAUGUGAAGACAGAAUGAAAGACUGGAAGAAGAGCAGGGCUCCUGGAUCAGGGGUAAAAACUGUCAACAAAUUUUGGGGCUGCUCUGAGUGUGGUAAGCAGUAUGUCAGUAACUGGACUCUUCAAAGACACAUGACAAGCCAUUCAGGAGUGAAGUCAUCAAGCUGUCUGCUUAAUAAUAUAUGUGUUGGAGAGAAGACAAUAGUAGAGUCACGCAGGAAAGUCCAAGCAA